CGUGUGUGUGAAUCCAGGUCUAUUUUCAUUGUAAUGUUUGUGUUUUGAUUUUGUCUUUUUAUGCAUAGUUUAGAAAUGUUAAUUAAUUUGUAUAAAAUUGAUAUUGUGGUUCUGGGAUGAUGUGACUUAGCCAAAUCAGACAUUGAUGUGCUCCAUUUGAUGUUGAAGCGCAUUUCUCUGUUGAUUCACAUCAGAGAUUGGUUUUCUUUUUUCCUGACCAGA